rnacentral:rRNA from 1 species
GAUGAACGCUAGCGGCAGGCCUAACACAUGCAAGUCGAGGGGCAGCAUAAAACAAGCUUGCUUGUUUGGUGGCGACCGGCGCACGGGUGCGUAACGCGUAUGCAACCUACCCUGUACUGGGGGAUAGCCCGGAGAAAUUCGGAUUAAGACCCCAUAGCACUUAAGAAUGGCAUCAUUCAUAAGUUAAAGGUUACCGGUACAGGAUGGGCAUGCGUCCCAUUAGCUAGAUGGUAAGGUAACGGCUUACCAUGGCAACGAUGGGUAGGGGGCCUGAGAGGGUGGUCCCCCACACUGGUACUGAGACACGGACCAGACUCCUACGGGAGGCAGCAGUGAGGAAUAUUGGUCAAUGGGCNCAAGCCUGAACCAGCCAUGCCGCGUGCAGGAAGACGGUCCUAAUGGAUUGUAAACUGCUUUUAUUGGGAAGAAAC